rnacentral:RNase_P_RNA from 1 species
UAGAUAAGUUGGAUGACUACUCCGGUUUUAAUCGGAGAGGAAAGUCCGAACACUCUUUAAUCACUAUGAUUAAAGUCAUGGUAGUGGGUAACGCCCACCAGCUAUAUCGCGAGGUAUAGUUAGGACCAGUGCCACAGAGACAAUACUAGUUUGCUUCGGCAAAUGAAAGGUGAAAAGUGUCAUGAUGUUUUAGAAUAAGAACGGGAUAUCCCCUUAGUCUAAAGCUACGUGACUCAGCUGUCGGUGACCGGCAGUUCGUGGUAAACUCUACUUAGUGCAACCCCAAAUAUAGUAGGGGGCUAGAAUUAACUAGUAAUAGUUAAUCCAGAUAGAUUGUCAUCUCUUUGUAUGGGUCUGUCACCAAAUAGCAUAUUUGUUAAAAUU